CCUUAUUAGAGAAGUGUGGCUGUUAUUAACUAUAUUUAUUUACCUUUUGUUACUAUCUUUAUUUAACUCUUGUUAUUAGUUGUUAUAGUUUGAAUAAGUCUCUGAUGGUUGGAGUAUAUUUAGGAAUAGUUAGUUAGUUGUAGAUAGUGUGCAGAUAGUGGCCUACACUUUAGGUGUAGAUGCACAACUAAACAUGGGCAUCAACUCAUGGGACAUCUUGAUGGAACCACAAUUUCUCCAUCACCUACUAUUACCCAAAGUGAUCUUACUGUACCAAAUCCUAGUUAUCAGAUCUAGUUCUCUCAGGAUCAAUUGAUCCAACAAGCAAUGAUGGCAUCGGCCGAUCCUAUAAUUGCUCCAACGGUUGCAGAAGCACCAUCUGCUAACAAAGCGUGGGAACUCCUUCACACAGCCUACGCCAAUAAAAUACAUACUCGCAUCUUCAACUUAUGAGAUCAAUUGCAAAACACCAAGAAGACUUCCAAAACCAUUGCAGAAUACUUGCAGAAGGUUCGUUCCCUCUCCAAUGCUCUUAAAGUUGUUGGUUCACCUGUCAAUGAUGAUGAACUUGUUGUCAAAAUUUUAAGUGUCCUUGGCCCUGAGUAUCAUGAAAUCUCUGCGGAGAUACGAGCACUAGACUCUCCUUUGAGCUUUGAAGAAUUAUUUUACAAGCUCACAGAUCAUGAGCUCUUCCUAAAAUAUCAAGAUCUAGAAAAACCAUCUAUGAUCACAGCUGCUAUUGCUCAGAAGUCCCACACACCUCCGCAAUUCAACAGGAAUAAUCCUCGUUUCAAUAACCAGCCGUGGAAACCAUCUCAGUCUCGACAAUGGAAUUCCAACAAUCAGCAAUCAAAUUCCAAUAAUCUGCAAUCGAAUUCCAACAAUUAGCAAAGCAGGCGACAAACUAAGCAAUCUAUCAAAUGUCAAUUGUGCCACAGUUUUGGUCACACGGCAGAUGUUUGUCGCUUCAAGUCACACAAUCACUUUGAAGCUAAGGCUAACUUUGUAUUUAGGUAGCAAUCAUCCGGAAACUCUUGAGUUUUAGACUCUGGAGCAACUCACCAUGUCACUGCCAAACCUCAUAACCUUGAAGAGUAUACAGGAAUUGAAGAAAUCUCUAUGGGUGGCGAUAAAACCAUUCCCAUUAUUUAUACUGGUUCAACUCUAAUUCAGGCAUCUAAAUCUGCUUUUAAGCUUUCUAACACACUUUGUGCUUUAUUAAUAAAAAAAAAUCUCAUCUCUGUUGCUAAGUUUUGCCAAGAUAACCUCAUGUCUAUUGAAUUUUUUCCUUUUACUUUUGUUGUGAAGGACUUGCAUACUCUGAAGCCGUUGGUACAAGGCUGGAACAAAAAUGGACUGUAUGAGUGGCUAUGUUUGCCAUCCAGGAAACCCUCAAUUCACCUUGCCUCCAUAAAAGCCCCACUUCAACUUUGGCAUUGUCGAUUGAGUCAUCCCCACUCUAGAUUUUAAAUUUAUUUUGAGAAAAUUUUCCUUACCAGUUGUUGCUAGCAAAGAAACAUUUGAACUUUUGUAAUGCUUGUUCUUCUAAUAAAGUACAUCGUUUGCUAUUCCACCGACUCACUUUGUCCAGUAGUGUUCCUCUUCAGAUUAUCUUUAGUGAUUUAUGAGGACCAUCGCCCAUUUUAUCACUUGACAAAAAGUUGUAUUAUUGCAUUUUUGUUGAUCAGUAUAACAAAUAUACUUGGUUAUACACUUAAAAAUAAAAGUGAGGUUGCGUCAAUAUUUCCAACGUUUCAUCCUUUAGUAGAAAAUUUUUUCAAAACAAAAAUUUCCUCAAUCUAUAUAGGUGAAGGGGGUGAGUUCAUCGGUCUUCAGCCCUAUCUUAAAAAAUAUGAUAUUGAACACUUAAUUUCUCUUCCCUACACUCCACAACGUGUUGCCAUAGCUGAACGCCGAUAUCGCCAUAUUCUUGAAACUGCUAAAACCCUUCUUCAUGAAGCAUCUUUACCCUCUGAACUUUGGUCUUUUACAUGUCAAUAUGCAGUCUACCUUAUUAACCGACUUCCUACUCCCAUCCUUAAUAAUGAGUCACCCUACCAAAAAUUAUUUGGUCGAUCUCUUGACUAUCACACCCUAAAAUUUUUUGGUUGUCUUUGUUACCCAUGGUUUAAACCUUAUACCAAAAUAAACUUGAACCCCGGUCCACCCCAUGUGUGUAUUUAGGUAUCUCUCAGACUGACCAUGCUCACAUGUGCUUUGACCCUGUCCAGUCUAAAAUUUUCAUAAGUCGUGAUGUUUAAUACUUUGAAAAAGAAUUUCCUUUUAAACAAUUGUUCAUCCAUUUUAAAAAAUAUACUUCUCAAUUAAGUUGGGAAGUCAUUGAUUCCAAAGAGGACAGUCCAACAAUAAUUCAAACCACUCCUCUCUAUUCCAUCCCUUAUUCCACUCCAAGUAACACCUAUUUCCCUGGCAAUGCUCACUCCAACAACAAUGAUCAAGUACCAGCAGCUCUAGAGUUAUCAGACUGAAGAAGGCUAUCUAUGGCUUUCAACAAGCCCCACCGGCUUGGUAUAAUGCUCUGCGUGAACAUCUGCUGAAAAUGCACUUUGUCAAAACAGAAUCUGACACCUCUUUAUUUGUAUGGAAGCAUCUGGCUGUAACCAUUUAUGUGCUUGUCUAUGUUGACGACAUCAUAAUCACUGGAAACCAUCCACACAUGAUUAAAUUUGUCAUCAAUUCCUUGGCAGAAAGAUUUUCGUUGAAGGAUCUUGGCUAUUUAAACUACUUCUUGGGUGUUGAUGUGAAGCAAGUGCCGGAUGGUCUCAUUCUUUCUCAAUCAAAAUACAUUUUGGAAAUUCUUUCUGAACUAGAUAUGGACAAUUGUAAAGGUGUUUCCACUCUCAUGUGUUCCAGCGUACCCCUUUGGGUAGCUGAUGGUUCGCCACUAACUGAUGCCAUGCGUCACCGGGGUACCCUUGGCAAAUUGUAGUCUCUGUCUCUCACUCGGCCUGACAUAUUUCAUGCAGUAAAUAAAUUAUCACAAUUUAUGCAUACUCCUACUGAUGAACAUUAGAAAACAGUUAAAAGAGUACUACGAUAUCUAAAAGAAACUGCAAGUUCAGGACUUCGCAUUCUUCGCAGCUCUGACUCCAAUUUGUAUAUGUAUGCUGAUGCCGACUGGGCUGGCGAUCCAAAUAACAGAAUCUCUACAUCAGGUUACAUACUUUUCUUUGGACCAAAUCCAGUUAGUUGGUCGUCCAGAAAGCAACGUGUAGUGGCACGCUCGUCCACUGAGGCAGAGUACAAAUCAGUAGCCAAUGCACUUACAGAGAUCAGAUGGGUGCGAAACUUACUUCAUGAGUUACAUGUCACCAUUCCGAAGACGCCAACAAUCUACUGUGACAAAGUUGGAGUAACUUAUUUAUCUCACUACCCAGUGUUCCAUACUCGUAUGAAACAUGUUGCUGUAGAUUUCGCAUAUGUCCGUGAUCAGGUUCACGCUCAUCAAGUUCAUGUUACUCAUACUCAUGCUUCUGAUCAACUUGCUGAUACCUUCACCAAGUCACUGCCUAAAUCAAACCUUAUUAGAUGUCGUUCCAAGUUAGGUAUUGUUGCACCUUAUCCAACUUGAGGGGGUGCAUUAACUAUCUUUAUUUACCUUUUGUUACUACCUUUAUUUAACUCUUGUUAUUAGUUGUUAUAGUUUGAAUAAUUCUCUGAUGGUUGGAGUAUAUUUAGGAAUAGUUAGUUAGUUAUAGAUAGUGUGCAGAUAGUGACCUGCACUUUAGGUGUAGUUAGUUGUAUAUUCUGUAUUUUAAAGCUUGCUUCCAGAGUUAAUGUAUCAUCCUUUUGAUCUCCUUCUCUGAAUCUUUAUAGCUGUCUCUUAUUUGUAGCAAAAGAACAUAUGCCAAUAUUGACACUGCAGCCUGACAUAUUUGAAUAAAAAAAGCAACCUUUUUUGAAAAAGUUAAAGUACCUAAAUAGUAGCCUCAAUUGUUUAUCUUUUUUUAUUUUCAUUGUAGCAACCAACUUUGACUACCAAUAAAGUUGUCCACAAAAUAUUGUAAGAACAAGUGGAAUGGUGAUGGAGCCAACAAUGUCAAUAAAUAAUAAAUAUUGUAACUUUCACAAGUCUUAAAAUAGACUAUUAUAAUAAUAAUUUGACAUUAAUAAUAUUAUUAAAAUGCCACUAAUCCAUCAGAAAUUAAUUAAAGCACCCAACUAUCUUCUGGUCGGGUGCUUUUUUAAAUCUUAUAUCAGAUUUUAUAAAUUUUUAUAUAAUUAUACCUAAUCUGCAUCGCCUUGCCUUCCGGUUGUGAUGGUGCUGGUAGUGUUGUGGUUGCUAGUGGUGGUGGCGGUGCAGCAGUGGCGAUGGAGAAAGAGGAGGUAUAAAAGGUUGAAGAGAAAGAAGAGCCUGAAGAUGAAGACUUUAAUUUGGAUCUCUUUGCUUAGAUCAACAAUUUAAGUUUUAUGCACUGCGCAUGCAAUUAUUACUUUUAUGUUUUACUAUCGAAUUGGAUUUGGAGUUGAUGUUUGUUUACUCUUUUGGAUUAAAAGUCUAUAUUUUAGUUUAGUUUUCUUUUAUAUAAUGCUUAGUAAUAUUUGUAGUAUUUGGUUUAUGUUAAGUUUAUAUUAUGUUCAUCAUGCAUGGCCUUCUACAAAGAGAUUCAUUUUUACACGUAAUAUAUUUUUUUUGGACAGGUUACACAGUUUGUGUUUAAUAGGGAUGCAUUUAUUAAAUUUAUAAGCGUCUCAAAAUAGUAAGGUUGUCCAUCUUAUAAGAAAGUAAGGUUGUCCAUCUUAUAAGAAAAUUUUUCAUUUGUACACCUAAAAGAUAAGAAAAGAUGGUAUCAUGCACCACUAUGGGUUGUGGUGCAGUGGUGAAGCUGCUUCACCCUUAACCAGAGGUCUCGCAUCUGAGCCUUGAAUAUGGAGAAAAUUCUUUUUGGAGCGUUGCCCCCUUAAUGGGCUCUGCAACACGCAAUCCGAAUUAGUUGGAGCUCCAAUGCAGACACCAAACACCGAAUGAAAAAAAAAACAAAAACAAAGUAUCCUACAAAUAAAAUUGGAAGUGAGUUGAACUAAUUUGGAGUCAAAAUUCAAAGCUACAUUGUAUAUCACUACUAUAUACAUCACACAGAUAUGGAAAACAUACACUGAUAUACAUCUCUUCUUCCGUACAAAGUCCACCCAGAAACGCUAUUUGAGUCAACAUUCAUCCUCGUCCACAUGCUUCAUUUUUGUAUAGUAAAGAGGUUCAUAAACUGCUAGUGCAAGUGCAAAGUAUCAGCUGUGGCAGAGAGUUCAGGGAAACAAAAGCAAAUCGCUCGCCCUUUGAGCCUCACUCAAGCGUAGAGUCUUGCAGAAGAUCGUGGACAUCACAACUUUUGACUCAACUAGUGGAUCGGAGCUACUCUCUUUAACAAUAAUAACACUUCGAUUCACAUGAAUCAAAUGAAUCCCAAAGUGCUUACUCAAAUAGUGAAUAUGGUGCGGAUUUUGUAAGGGAGAAGAGAUGUAUAUCAGUGUAUAUUCUUCACACACACACAUAUAUAUAUAUAUAAUUCGGUAUUCGAUAAA